GCGAGCAUGCGAGUGUGAGCGAAUCUCAAAAAUAACGUCUCAGUUCGGAUUGUAGUCUGCAACUCGACUACAUGAAGCUGGAAUCGCUAGUAAUCGCGGAUCAGAAUGCCGCGGUGAAUACGGUUCCCGGGUCUUGUACACACCGCCCGUCACACCAUGGGAGUCAGUAACGCCCGAAGCCGGUGACCCAACCUAAACAGGAGGGAGCCGUCGAAGGCGGGACGGAUGACUGGGGUGAAGUCGUAACAAGGUAAC
rnacentral:rRNA from 1 species